UCGCUAUGUAGGAUAAUCCUUACUGUUGCAGUAUUCAAAGGACAGAUAAAGCAUGAUGAUUGAUGUUGGCAUGAUUCGUGAUUAAUGUCUAUGUGAUUAGGGUACCCAAUACCCUAAGUGCUCCUAUCUGAU